rnacentral:rRNA from 1 species
AUUGAACGCUGGCGGCAUGCCUUACACAUGCAAGUCGAACGGCAGCACGGGAGCAAUCCUGGUGGCGAGUGGCGAACGGGUGAGUAAUAUAUCGGAACGUGCCCAGUCGUGGGGAUAACGUAGCGAAAGUUACGCUAAUACCGCAUACGAUCUACGGAUGAAAGCGGGGGACUCGCAAGAGCCUCGCGCGAUUGGAGCGGCCGAUAUCAGAUUAGGUAGUUGGUGAGGUAAAGGCUCACCAAGCCGACGAUCUGUAGCUGGUCUGAGAGGACGACCAGCCACACUGGGACUGAGACACGGCCCAGACUCCUACGGGAGGCAGCAGUGGGAAUUUGGACAAUGGGCGCAAGCCUGAUCCAGCAAUGCCGCGUGCAGGAUGAAGGCC